GGCCGCAGCGACUCGGACCGUGGUUCCUCUUGUGGUUUGGCGAUCAGACAUUGAAAUAUCUGUAUUUGUGUGUAUUGUGUGUGUAUGUCUUUGGGUUUCCAUGGUCACUUGCUGUAUUUUCCAAUUGUUUGGCCCGCGAUGGCAGCUGGGAAAAAAAAGAAAGCCGUUGACACAUUUCACCGUUUACCGUUUGGGGCAAUUCACAGAGAACUGAACGAGACAUAGGAGAAGAAAAAUGAUGAACAAACGAAGAGGACAGGUGAUGCUGAUAAAAAAAAAAAGGAAACGUACAGUGCGGAGCAGCAGUAGCGUGAACAGCCCUCUCUCUGUGUUUCGGUGUGUGUGGAGCAGAAGGCCACAGAGAGAAGACCAGACCCCUGUUCCUGCUGAACUGAGCCAGCUACAGCCAUCCACUGAUUAUCAGCACAGCAGGCACAGGAGACCAGCCCACUGACAGACACAGCCACAGAGACAAGCCACACGCACCAAAAUAAUAGCAGACUGAGGCACAGACGUCGCGAAUGAAACCAGUAACCUCGGUAUUUAUGACUCAUACAUGCAUGUAUUCAUAUAUACAUAUAUAUACACAUAUAUAUAUAUAUAUAUAUAUAUAUAUAGUGCAUAAAGACAUAAAUUACAUUGCAUAAAUGAUCUAAAAUUCUCAUUUCCAUAACAAUACACAAAGUCCUAUUUGAUUCUCAGUAACAUAUACAAUGACUAAGCAUAAUUUAAAGGCUGUACAAAAAAUAUUUUCAUAAUAUAUAUUUUUAUUAUUUUAAUACAUAAUAUAAUAUUAAAUAUACAAGACGACAAACAAUAAAACAUAAUAAAAUGUAACUAUAAAUAUAUAUAUAUAUAUAUAUAUAUAUAUAUAU